CCGCCGGUUCGAGUCCCGCGCCCGCGCCCCGCCCGGCUGAGCCUGAAAAGCAAAGCAGAAGCACAUCCUGAGCAGUGGAUUUUGUCCUGUAUGCAGAGCUCAAAAUAAUGAUGUGUGCAAGAUCAGAUAACACAAGAUCGGUGCUUAGAAAGGUGUUCAGGAGCUGAAACACUCAUAAAUCUCCUACGGUUCUGAAAUCCUGCACGUUGAAACCACAGCUCUGUAACAUCAUUUAUUCCAAGAAGGAAAGAUAAACCCUUCUGUCAUUUAGGUGAUUAAAGCAGGAUUAAAUCACACAGCUGCAAAAACUGCUGCUUCUGCCUGCCACUGGUGGAGCUGAGGCUGCUCCUGCAUCCGUGUUCUAGAGGAGCAACAAAGCUCCAGGGAAGGGGAAUGGGAUAAAAAUCCUUUUUGACAAGUAGCAGAAAGCCCUGUGUGUUUUGUGCUUUGCUGCAUCACGCCGUCAGGGCUCUCCUGGAACGUGGGAAUGGAUGUUUGUGGCAUUUAGCAGCAUCAGGGGAAUUCAUCCUGCUCCGAUUUGCUGACGAGGGAAGAACGACAGAGGG